CAUUAAAUGUGUCAUUAAUUAAUUAAAAUACCGAUUCAUUGUAUGUAAAAUGCAUAUAUAACUAUUUCACUAUUUACAUUUACAUUUCAUGAUCCUGCGUUGCAGCGCUUCAUGAAUUACUUAAAACUGUCAAACUGACCCAUCAAAGUCAGUGGGCGGGGCUAACGCAAAUCUAGUCUGAUCCAUUGCUUUGGUCUGAAGUACCUGGAUAGAAACAUGGAGGAUCUCCGUGAACUUUCCAGGGAGUUGGUGAGAGACAUUUUAAACUUAGCAGAGGAUGUAGAAGCAGGACCUGCUGAGUCCGAGCAUGUAGCUAGUAAAGCAGAGGAACUUAUUGAAGUUGUUGGAGUCAUUUCCGCACUUUCUGACGAAGAUAUCGACCACAGAGUAAUUACAAAUCUAGAAGAAGUUGUCCACCGCUUCUCUGGUACCAGGGCGCAUCAGGCCCAACACACACAGGGACCGGGGCGUUUGCCGUUUGACAUACCGAGUGCAGUUCUGGAGCAUCAAGUUCUUUGUGGAGUUCCCGCAGUUCAAAUCGCAGCGAUGUUCGGAGUGUCAAAGAGGACCAUCAGGAGGCGCAUGCAACAACACAGUUUAAGAAAAACAGAUCUCUAUUCAGCUGUGAAUGAUGAGGAGUUGGACCAUAUUGUAAGUGAAAUUCACAGAAGUCAUCCAAACACCGGCUACAAGCUAAUGCGUGGUCACCUGAAUGCAAGAGGUGUGCGUGUUCCAACUGUCCGGAUGUUCCUCCCCUCAGUCUCAAGACUGCAAGAGUCUUUACGCAGAGUAGAUGCAGAGGGAGGCUACAUGAGACGUCUGAGGCUGCGUGUAUUAAGGCGACGGCAGUAUUUUGUGCCUGGCCCAAACUCUUUGUGGCAUAUAGAUGGCCACCAUAAGCUCAUCAGGUCAGUGAUAUUAGCAGAUAAACAAUUCAUCGUUCUAGAUGUUUCAUUACAAUUGUUUUACAAUAAAGUUGUAUCUGUGGUACUUUAAAUGGAACAUUUACUAUAUUGUCUUUAAAAUCUCCCAAGCUUUUAAAGAUCAACCUGUGAGCUGUAGUUUCUACAGUGCAUACUACAGCUGUAUUAUUUCACAAAACUUUAAUAACUAACAAUUUCUCACUGACUUGGUGACCAAAAAUAACAAUCUUGUGUUAGGACAUGUCAAACUAUUUUUAAGUACAAGUUUGAUUAUGCUUGUCAUCUUUUCAGAUUCCUGAAGAGUAUGGGAUCGACUGGAACGGACCUCACAGCCUUCAUGGAGGCACUGUGUCAGUCCCCGAGGUUCAGCUGGCCCGUGAGCUCUCAGAUGAAGAGGUUGCAAUUUUGUCAGCUCCAGGAGUUUCUGUUACUGAUGCGCUUAGACUAUAUGUAGAGACUGUGGAAGUGUUAUCAAGAAUCUUAGACUGAUGUCCGACACGUUUUUAUUUUUUGUGUUAGAACAAGCAGUCAAAAACUGAAAGUUUGCUUUCCUUUAAAAAAAAAAAAUAUAUAUAUAUAUAUAUAUAUAUAUGCCGAAUAAAAAUAAAAUAAAAAGUCAA